rnacentral:rRNA from 1 species
UACGAAGGGGGCUGGCGUUGCUCGGAAUCACUGGGCGUAAAGCGCACGUAGGCGGAUCUUUAAGUCAGGGGUGAAAUCCUGGAGCUCAACUCCAGAACUGCCUUUGAUACUGGGGAUCUCGAGUCCGGAAGAGGUGAGUGGAACUCCGAGUGUAGAGGUGAAAUUCGUAGAUAUUCGGAAGAACACCAGUGGCGAAGGCGGCUCACUGGUCCGGUACUGACGCUGAGGUGCGAAAGCGUGGGGAGCAAACAGG